UGCAUAACUGGAUGGACGCAUUGUGUUAGUGCGUGGAUUAUUGUGACGCAACAGUAAGUGUUCCAACAGCGCGCUGUAAAUGACACUGAGAGCACUGCGUCUGAGGACACUCCCCGAGGCGCGCCUUUCCUGACAAACAAAAGAAACUGGAAAAAAAGAAGAAAAAUCAAUUCCUUUCAAAAGCUUCUGGGACAUUAUCAUUAUUUGGAAGGAUAGGACGGCACAGAGGGCCCUUCUUCGUCGGGUCUAAAGCCAAUUAAUUCUCUGUUCCAGAGGUGGACAAUCGUUGCCGGGCCGAGUAUUUGGCCACGGAAAGCUAUGUUUCGAAAAAAUGAAGACGCAAGGAUGAAAGCUUGGGGGGUUCAAUCGGAUGGAUCUUCAAGUCGGCACGUGUCCGCGUCCUCUGUCAGAGCGAUGAAGCCAGGCGUCAAACAUCUACGCUGGUUGCACAUACUUCCUCUGGUGGUCCUUGUGGCAGCACAGGCUUCCUGUAAUGAGACCUCUGCUGCUCCUUCCCCUCCAUUCAUUACUACUGAAAAUGUCUCGACAUCCGGUAAAAGCUGACAGAAUCAUCUCACA